UCCCUGAGCCUCCUGACUGCGCCUUCGCCUGGGGGGCGGGGCUCCCUCUGUGACGUCACAAGGGCCCCCGCCAUGCCUCUGGCCUUGACCCUGCUGCUGCUCUCGGGCCUGGGCGCCCCCGGAGGCUGGGGCUGCCUGCAGUGCGAUCCCUCGGUGCUGGAGGCCCUGAAUCACCUGCGCUCCGCCCUCAUCCCCAGUCGCUUCCAGUUGGAGCAGCUGCAGGCCCGCGCCGAGGCCGUGCUGCUGGGCAUGGAAGGGACUUUCUUCCAGGACUACGCGCUGAAUGUGUUUGUGGGGAAAGUGGAGAGGAAUCAACUGGACCCUGUGGCGUCCUUUCUCAAGAACCAAACGCAGGACUUAAUGGGUAACUCUCUGAAAGAUGAGCCUCUGCUGGAAGAGCUGGUGAGCCUUAGGGCAAAUGCGAUCCAGGAACUCAAGAAAGUUUUAAGAUCAUAUGAAUUAAAAGCCUGCAACGCCAAAAUUUGCCGCUUGCUAAAAGAAGAGGUGUUGGACUGUUUACACUGCCAGAGGAUCAGUCCCAAGUGUAUCCACAAAAAGCACUGCUUUGUUGACAGGCAACCCCGCGUGGCCCUGCAGUACCAGACGGACGGCAAAUACCCGAGGAACCAAGCUCUGUUGGGCACCCUCAUUUCUGUGUCUCUGGCUGUCUUUGUCUUCGUGGCCAUCGUGGUCUCAUGGAGUCUCCCUCUCUCGACUAGGCUGGAGUGCAGUGGCAUGAUCUCAGCUCACUGAAACCUCCGCCUCCCGGGUUCAAGCGAUUCUCCUGCCUCGGCCUCCUGAGUAGCUGGGACUACAGGGCUUGUACAUACAGGCAAAACCGAAAACUCCUGCUGCAGUAGGACGGUGGUUUGGGGUUUGUAAGAAAGGAAAAUACAUUUAAUAAAAUUGAUG